rnacentral:lncRNA from 1 species
GGAAGAAAAAAAAAAUUCUAAGCGCAGCGCCCUCCAAUACGACCAUUAGACGCAUGGAUAAGUAACUGACACGUGGACAUUAUAACAAUGAAAUCCUACUCUGACACUGAGGUUUUGAACACUGCCAUUCUCACUGGAAAGCCUGUUUCAGUUCCUGUCAAAGUCGUGAGGGUCCAGGAGGAUGGUUCUGUGGUCUAUGUGUCUGAGUCUGUGGAAUGCAAGUCUGCCGAUGCAGAUGUCAUUAAGGUCUUCAGCAUUAACAUCUCCAUCUCUUGAACUAGUGAUCUGCCCACCUCGGACUCCCAAAGUGCUGGGAUUAUAGGUGUGAGCCACCACGCUGGGCCUUGGCUUGCAGUUUUGAUCUCAGGAUUGGUAUGACUUUGAAGAAGACAGAGGACACAAUUGUUAAAGAGUCCAGAAUCUGGGAGAAUAAAAUAAUUUUCAGAGACUGGAACCUCAACCUAGUCUGGCAGGUGGAAGAAGGAUAAAAAGUUCUACUGUUAGUUUAAGAAAGUUUUCAUUAAUUUCAAAAUAUGCAGCAUAACAGCAACAUCUGUGUGAAAAAAUCUUGGCAUCUUUAUAAAUAGUAAGAGCCAAUGAAUCAAAUGAAGAGGUUGCCAUGAGGCUGAUGUGAUCUUCGUCAGCAUUAAUCAGAGCAUGGUCCCAGCACAGGCAACACUGCUGUACUUCAUGCCAAAUCUGGUCCAGAAGGGUUGUGUGUGUGUGUUUGACUUUUUAAAAUUUGAAUCCAUUUCCAGCAUGCAAACAUUGUUAAUUUCACGUCUGGAUUCCGAGCUCCUCUUGAAACACCAUGUGGUCAGGUUGUCCUGCGCCCAUACUCCUGCCGGUCAUCAUCAUCUGGAGUGGACCAGUUGUCUACAGAGGCUCUCCACUCCCCACCACUCCAGCUCACUGUAAUCUCCACCACUCCCUCUCGCCUUCCACACUGAGGGAGGCCCAGCAAGCAGAUUUGAGAGAUUGUGCUCUGUACUUGUGCAAUCUAAUUGUGUCCUGUUAGAAAGGAGAUGUCCUGGGAAACUCAAAUUAAGGUGAGCAGCAGCCUCUUCUUGUAGUUCAGGUGGACAGAACACAGCCACUGAGGCCUGGCAUCUUCUAAGCACUGUGAAAACCGUACUCUCCUACCAAUCACUGUAUUUUACAGCGUUUUGCACAAUUCUGUGUCCUUCACUCAGUUGGGCCUCCUCCAGGGCAUAAGCUCUCUGAUUCCCUCUGUGUCCCCAGAGUCCUGCCCAGAUCCCACCACAUAACAUUACUGGCCCUGAGCCAGGCCUGAGAUUUAGCCUCAGGCUCUGUAAACUCUGUGCCCUUUAAAAUGGUGACUUGUCCUUUCUGGGCUACGUCUCUUCAAAGUGGGCACAGAUCAGAUCUCUGCGGUCUCAUUCAGCACCAGGACGUUAAGAUUCUAUGAUGGAGGUGUGUGUUGAAUGAGAUGGGAAGGGAAGCUGUGCAGUGGUCCCCGUUCUGCCCACCCUGCCCCUGAGGUCCACACUUGCUGGGAGGCCUGGACAUUUCGUCAGUUACAGGGUGAGUGCUGGCCAAACCACCAUGGAGAGAUGAAGAAAUGGCACAUCCAAGCCAUGGUCCAACCACGGAGGCCAGAUCAACAUAUGUGAAUAAGGAUUGAUAAAAAGAAAUACAGCCAAGUGCAAAGCAUCACAAUCACACCUCAAAAGGCUGGGCUAGGGAGGUCUUUUGGAAGUGGGGGCUGAGAGUGACUUCCAGUGCUGGUGAGGGAAGGGAGGGGCUCACGGGGCCUGCCAGUUGCCAGCUGUAUGAUCCUGGACAACCUACUUCAUCUCAUUUACUCUGAACCAUUCUUGCAUGUCUACAAUGUUCCAGGCCCCAUCCAUGACCCUGGACUUCAGAAAGUCAGAUAAGGCAACAAUCUUGUCUUCCAAGGACAUGCAUUACAGUCCAGAAAGGGCAGAGAAGUGUUAAUGAAUCAGUCUUAGCAUGUGAAGAUACAAAAACGGCUCAAGGUUCCUCAAGCCCCAGGGUCCAUGGACUUAUUCACCUUUUACUCUCUGUGAUAAUUAUUUGACUUUGCACAUGUAUUAUUUAUAGUACUCUAAAGGAUAUGUAAACAACUUUUACCAUGGACACUACCCCAGACUGUGCUG